rnacentral:rRNA from 1 species
GACGAACGCUGGCGGCGUGCUUAACACAUGCAAGUCGAACGGUGAAGGGACCGGUUUUUGCUGGUUCUGGAUGAGUGGCGAACGGGUGAGUAACACGUGAGUAACCUGCCCCCUUCUUCUGGAUAACCGCAUGAAAGUGUGGCUAAUACGGGAUAUUCUGCGCCUGCUGCAUGGUGGGUGUGGGAAAGAUAUUGUUUCGGUGGGGGAUGGGCUCGCGGCCUAUCAGCUUGUUGGUGGGGUGAUGGCCUACCAAGGCGGUGACGGGUAGCCGGCCUGAGAGGGUGGACGGUCACACUGGGACUGAGACACGGCCCAGACUCCUACGGGAGGCAGCAGUGGGGAAUAUUGCACAAUGGGCGCAAGCCUGAUGCAGCGACGCCGCGUGAGGGAUGGAGGCCUUCGGGUUGUAAACCUCUUUCGCCAGUGAAGCAGGCCUGUCCCUUUUGUGGGUGAGUUGACGGUAGCUGGAUAAGAAGCGCCGGCUAACUACGUG